AGGGUUUGAUUCUGGCUCAGGAUGAACGCUAGCUACAGGCUUAACACAUGCAAGUCGAGGGGCAUCAGGAUGUAGCAAUACAUUGCUGGCGACCGGCGCACGGGUGAGUAACACGUAUCCAACCUACCGAUUAUUCCGGGAUAGCCUUUCGAAAGAAAGAUUAAUACUGGAUAGUAUAACGAGAAGGCAUCUUUUUGUUAUUAAAGAAUUUCGAUAAUCGAUGGGGAUGCGUUCCAUUAGUUUGUUGGCGGGGUAACGGCCCACCAAGACUUCGAUGGAUAGGGGUUCUGAGAGGAAGGUCCCCCACAUUGGAACUGAGACACGGUCCAA
rnacentral:rRNA from 1 species